rnacentral:rRNA from 1 species
UACGUAGGGUGCGAGCGUUGUCCGGAAUUAUUGGGCGUAAAGAGCUCGUAGGCGGCUUGUCGCGUCGGAUGUGAAAGCCCGGGGCUUAACUCCGGGUCUGCAUUCGAUACGGGCAGGCUAGUGUUCGGUAGGGGAGAUCGGAAUUCCUGGUGUAGCGGUGAAAUGCGCAGAUAUCAGGAGGAACACCGGUGGCGAAGGCGGAUCUCUGGGCCGAUACUGACACUGAGGAGCGAAAGCGUGGGGAGCGAACAGG